CCAGACUCCUACGGGAGGCAGCAGUGGGGAAUAUUGCACAAUGGGGGAAACCCUGAUGCAGCGACGCCGCGUGAGUGAGGAAGUAUUUCGGUAUGUAAAGCUCUAUCAGCAGGGAAGAAAAUGACGGUACCUGACUAAGAAGCCCCGGCUAACUACGUGCCAGCAGCCGCGGUAAUACGUAGGGGGCAAGCGUUAUCCGGAUUUACUGGGUGUAAAGGGAGCGUAGACGGAAUAGCAAGUCUGAUGUGAAAACCCGGGGCUCAACUCCGGGAGUGCAUUGGAAACUGUUGAUCUAGAGUGUCGGAGAGGCAAGCGGAAUUCCUAGUGUAGCGGUGAAAUGCGUAGAUAUUAGGAGGAACACCAGUGGCGAAGGCGGCUUACUGGACGAUGACUGACGUUGAGGCUCGAAAGCGUGGGGAGCAGACAGGAUUAGAUACCCGCGUA
rnacentral:rRNA from 1 species